AAAAAUAAGAAACUAAAUCUGUCCAAUUUUUGUUUCAAAAUAUCGAAACUUGACUGAGGCCAAAAUUGUGGUCUGUAGGUAGAGUGUGCCUGGGGUGGUCGACGAGUGAAGACGUGACAAUACGUGGCUGUAGGCCCGUGACACUGAUUUCGACAAAGUGGUACUCAGGUGGAUUACUCCAAAUGGUGAGGUGGACCUUGCGGUGGUGUUCGAUUUUUGUUUUGGGUAAAAUUGUGAUUCUGGACAAUUUUGCCCUUGUGCUUUCGAGAUUUGAUUUUGCUUGAUUGUUUGUUGUAAUCGUUGGAGACUUUAGGCCGAAUAGUGGUGACUGUUGA
rnacentral:lncRNA from 1 species